rnacentral:rRNA from 1 species
UACGGAGGGUGCAAGCGUUGUUCGGAAUCACUGGGCGUAAAGGGCGUGUAGGCGGUCCGCUAAGUCUGAUGUGAAAGCCCGGGGCUCACCCCCGGAAGGGCAUUGGAAACUGGCGGACUCGAGUCCCGGAGAGGAAGGUGGAAUUCCUGGUGUAGCGGUGAAAUGCGUAGAUAUCAGGAGGAAUACCGGUGGCGAAGGCGGCCUUCUGGACGGUGACUGACGCUGAGACGCGAAAGCGUGGGGAGCGAACAGG